rnacentral:rRNA from 1 species
ACGAGACUGUUCUCUUUGAGGCCGGUCAUCGGAAUGGGUACAAUUUAAACCCUUUAACGAGUAUCAAGCAGAGGGCAAGUCUGGUGCCAGCAGCCGCGGUAAUUCCAGCUCUGCAAAUACAUAGAAUUAUUGCUGCGGUUAGAAAGCUCAUAGUUGGAUUCGUAUCGAUACCUUGGAACCCUUCGGGUGUCUCUAGGUGUUAUCGAUUUAUCGUAAUGUUCGGUUUUGAGUCCUUAACAGGAUUCUUAACAGGCAUUGCAAGUUUACUUUGAACAAAUCAGAGUGCUUCAAACAGGCGUUUUCGCUUGAAUGAUCGUGCAUGGAAUAAUAGAAAAUGAUUUCGGUUCAGUUUUAUUGGUUUUACGGACUGAGAUAAUGGUUAACAGAGACAAACGGGGGCAUUUGUAUGGUCCCGUGAGAGGUGAAAUUCUUGGACCGUGGCCAGACAAACUACAGCGAAAGCAUUUGCCAAGAAUGUUUUUAUUAAUCAAGAACGAAAGUCAGAGGUUCGAAGGCGAUCAGAUACCGCCCUAGUUCUGACCGUAAACGAUGCCAACUAGCGAUCCGCCGAUGGAAAUUAUAUUGCCUUGGUGGGGAGCUUCCCGGAAACGAAAGUCUUCCGGUUCCGGGGGAAGUAUGGUUGCAAAGCUGAAACUUAAAGGAAUUGACGGAAGGGCACCACCAGGAGUGGAGCCUGCGGU